GGGGGAGAAGUGAUAUGCAGUCAGAUACUCCUGACCACUGGGAAAGUAUAAACUCUACAUCUGAAUUUUAUCAUACUCUCCAGGGAUCUUGAAUUAGGCCAAUCUAGACAAUCAACAAAACAAUAAAGCAAGCCUUGAUUUAUUGCCAAUUUGCCAAUUUACAAGGAGUAAAUGCUGACACUGAAGAGGUUUAAGCUGGCUCCAGCACACUCCUGCAGACUUGUAAUCUUUCCUGUGUACACUGUGUAAGAGGCUAGGAAUGCACGUCUAACAGGUGCUGACUACCUAAAUUUCACAUACUAGUGCCUACACAGGAAAUCUAUACUAGAUGGUCCAAAACGGCAGCUACGCCUCCGGGCUUGUUUUCACUUGAGAAUUAUUUCCAUCAUUUGAUAAAGAAGUGGGAGUGGACUACCUGGCCAUGUACAUGUAGUCGACGGGUGAAAGCGACACCAGAAACGAUUUCUUGGAGAAAGCACAAGAAAAACAGGCAGAGGGGAAGAAAAGAGUAGUCGGUGUACUAAAAGAAGCACGCGAGUCCACGGCAAACGCAGAGUGGAGGCUAACUUCAAUGCUGUCCUAAAAGUGAGAUGCACAACCAAAUGACUGCGCAACUUUAGCACGAACACAUCAGCCUGGGACUUUCCAAAAGUCACAGAGAAAAGCAACUGAGGGAGUAGCGUGGAGCAAGGAAGCCGACGGAGGGAGGGAAGAGAAGGAAGCACACCGGACAAGGGUCUGGAGCAGAGGACUGCUCCUCCACUUAAGCCCCCCUAGUUUCUCUCCAACGCUGGCUGGGGGAUGGAAGGGGACGGCUCA